CACUCCCCCUUCCUUCAGCAAUCAUUCCCCCACCACAAUUGAAGCUCCAGAAACCCUAGACAGCGAGGAAGAUGGCACACACAUAGCUCUCAGUUCGCAUCAUCCAAAACCCAGACUUAUGCCGAGAAAAGGUCUCAUUCUACAACUGUAAUUUCGCAGUGUCACCGGAAAACCUACACAGAAAAAUCUCCCGCAUAACAGAAUCAGGGCUAACGGAAAAUGUCAGUUUUGCAAGUUUUAAAUUGUUGACGACAUGGUCUCUAAUUUGAAUGUGGUUUUGCUAAUUCAUUAACCGAUCCCGGGUUUAACUCCCUAGACGCAUCGGUACAGUGAAAUUGUGGAACUUCCAGAUACAAACAGCUCCCCACCUGCUCCUGCAAAAUUUCGGUGAGUAAUUUGAUCGUCAUGGUUCGCAUUAGAGGCAUUUGUAUUGUUGCAAGCUCAUACUUGUGUUAUAGUCCAUCUGUAUUUGACCCAUGUCGAAGUAGUCCUAUUUUCUGUGUGAUAACCAUGCCAAAUUUUGAGCCCUGAAUCUGCAGCUACACCGACAAAGGUUAUCUUAUAAAAUAAACAGAAAACCCAUGAUGAUUCAGUCUAUUUUGAUGUCUCAGUGGUGAUUAAGUUUCAUGUAUAUGAGGUUUGAUAGUGAUUGAUUACUUAUGAACUUAUGAUGCCAAAUAUGUACUACAUUUGUAUGAAGUCGUUAGGCCACCACAAGGAUGAGAAAUCCUGCUGCCAAUUACGACCUAAUACACAUGAUGCUUGAAGACAUCAUGUUUUUAUACCGUGUUGAGAGCACAAUUCUCGUACAUCGUUACAUCAGAGCCCGAACAAAACGUGCUAGGCGAAGGAUCGUUGAACAAGCGAGGCAGUAUAGCGUACUCUCUAAGAUCCCGGAUCAAAUAAAGUACUUGGACAGACUCCUUCAUGUCACCGAUGCAGACUGCUUGCAUAACUUGAGAAUGGAUCGCAACACUUUUGGGAAAUUGUGUAGAAUUCUCACUGAGCAGGUGGCCAAUUUUGUAGGCGUUUUGGCGCAUCACAAUAAAAAUCUUGUUAUUCGUUUCAGCUUUGCUAGGUUCCACAGUAUCACACUAUGUGAAUACUGUUUUAGGUGCUAUUUUGAGUCUCCAUAGUGUAUUACUGUCGAAGCCUACCCCCAUACCUGAUGAUUGCAUUGACAACCGGUGGAAAUGGUUUAAGGACUGUCUCGGUGCUCUCAAUGGCACACAUAUCAAUGUCCUAGUGAGUAGCAGUGAUAAACCCUGUUAUCGUACCAAAAAGGGCUCUAUUGCAACGAACACAUUGGUUGUUUGUGAUCGCAACAUGCAGUUCGUUUAUUUUCUGUCGGGGUGGGAAGGUUCAGCUGGCGACUCUUGGGUGCUCAGGGAUGCCGUUGUGUCGCACCACGACGGGCUAAGGGUUCCCCAAGGAUGUUACGGAUUCUUGACGCCAUAUAAGGGGGUUCGAUACCACUUCAAGGAAUGGGGAGUAGGAAAUGUGCAUCCCAAAACCCAAAUGAACUGUUUAAUAUGAGGCAUAGCCAGGUUAGGAACGUUAUAGAAAGAGCCUUCGCUGUUUUAAAGAUGUGUUGGGGGGAUAUUACUAUUGGAAUCGUGGUCCGAUUAACGCAAAUGGACUGGGUCGUACAAGUGACGGAUUAUUUAAUUUUGAAAUAAUUAAAUAAUUUAUAAUCGAUCUACGCUUCGAGUAGAUGAUUGUGGUAUAUUUACUUUCUCUAAACCGAUUUCCGACAAAACAAUGUGGCAAAUGGGCAUACGGAGAAAGCUUCAUAGAAUGCGUGCACAUUGAUCGGGUCGUCCAGAUACAUCUCUGGAAUGAACAACUACGUGAGAGGUGUCUAGAUACAUCCGUCCAGGUUCAUGCUCCAUGGUUGACAUUUGUAACGUCAGUAAUGGCUUGUAACCCCCGACGGUUACAAUCAAGCUAUCAUGACACACAUAAUGGGUGUUGACUCCAUCAAUUCAAAUGAGUGGACUUGGCGCCAAUAAAAAGGCAUGCAUCCAUUUCAUUCUCUACACAAUCAUAUUGCAAACCAAGCAUAUCAUUUGCAUAGCUCUCUCCAUCUCUCUGCAUAGUCUUCCGUCAAAGCUCUACCCUCACCAUCAUCCAGUUCGCCGGAGCUUGUUUUGUUUGCGGUGCUGCAACGAACAAGACGAAGCAGUUUUAUCUUUGGGGACGACACGUCAAUCCGAGAGCACUACCGGGACGUAUCUCUUCUUGCGGAAAUAGGACACCUCGACUCGGCUUACAUCUUUACGGUUUAAAGUUUUGAUUAUCGUUUUGUUAUUUCAAUUCAGUUUAUUGUACUUUUAUCUUCGUUCUUCAUUUGGGUUGUAUUACGCCCGGUUAUUGUAUCUUUGUAUCACAGUUGUAAUCAAAGAAACAUCAACAAUUAAGAAGUGUUUCGUUUUACCCAAUUGAGACACAAAUCAGGUUAAUCAUGGCCUGCUUCCUUCUGCAUAA